GGUGAAUCUGGGAGGGUGGUCCAACCUGAGCAGAGCGAGGACGGCCGCCCCUACGUGCCGAAGGACCGCUUCCCUGCAGCUGCCGAGAGAAGCCAAGAAAAGCAAAGUCAGCCACAGAAACCAGGAUCGGCCAGAUCAGAAGAGGACUCUUCCUCGAGAUAGUGGCUCUCCACUUCCGACCGACACGCAGCUCUGUCCCCAACAGAGCGGGAGCAAGCCCUCUCUUCCAACCCUGUUAGAAAAGUUACUCUUGGAGACUAAGACCCCCAUCCUCCCCGAGGCAGCGUGGCUGAAGAGCAUGGCAGGACGGUUGGCUCAAAAAGAGUUCUGUGGCGCAGCCUACGGUACUGAAAGGAUAUACUGCUCCUGAAGAAGGAGGCUCGACUUUUUGUGGGAUUCCCAGUGCCUUGUAGUGGAUAGAGUGACAGAACGAGGCUCUGAAGAAGAGGGUUCAAAUUCCCACUUGGUCAUGCAAACUCCCUGGAGGAGUCAAACCACUCCUUAAAUAUCUCCCUUACCUUGAAAACCCUUAUAUUAAGGUCACUUUAAGUCGGGUCCAACUUGACAGCGUGAAAUGCACACACUUAUGGUGGCUUGAUAGCGAGAGCAGUCUACAGCCUCCGUUUCACCUACAAAAGCCGCCUUUUUGACUCGCAGUCAUUAAGUCGGCGACUUGAGGUUUGUGGGGGCCACGGAAUCCAUUCCGGGUUUUAAUACGAAGUUGAAACGGGCUCUCUAAAGUGCUCGGUCUCAGUCCCUCAAACAGGACCAGCAUCUUGGCUCGCCCCUUCAACACUCAGGCAGACACCGGGAUGGAUUUGUUCUCUCUGUGAAUCUGGAGUCGGCGGGCACCCCUGCAGGCCGUUGGCAU